rnacentral:rRNA from 1 species
UAAGUUUAAGCAACUUGUACGGUGAAACUGCGAAUGGCUCAUUAAAUCAGUUAUCGUUUAUUUGAUAGUACCUUACUACUUGGAUAACCGUGGUAAUUCUAGAGCUAAUACAUGCUAAAAACCCCAACUUCGGAAGGGGUGUAUUUAUUAGAUAAAAAACCGAUGCCCUUCGGGGCUACUUGGUGAUUCAUGAUAACUUCACGAAUCGCAUGGCCUUGCGCCGGCGAUGGUUCAUUCAAAUUUCUGCCCUAUCAACUUUCGAUGGUAAGAUAGUGGCUUACCAUGGUGUCAACGGGUAACGGGGAAUUAGGGUUCGAUUCCGGAGAGGGAGCCUGAGAAACGGCUACCACAUCCAAGGAAGGCAGCAGGCGCGCAAAUUACCCAAUCCCAACACGGGGAGGUAGUGACAAUAAAUACUGAUACAGGGCUCAUUAGGGUCUUGUAAUUGGAAUGAGUACAAUUUAAAUCCCUUAACGAGGAACAAUUGGAGGGCAAGUCUGGUGCCAGCAGCCGCGGUAAUUCCAGCUCCAAUAGCGUAUAUUAAAGUUGUUGCAGUUAAAAAGCUCGUAGUUGAACCUUGGGCCUGGCUGGCCGGUCCCCCUCACCGGGUGCACUGGACUGGCCGGGCCUUUCCUCCUGGGGAGCCGCAUGCCCUUCACUGGGCGUGUUGGGGAACCAGGACUUUUACUUUGAAAAAAUUAGAGUGUUCAAAGCAGGCCCACGCUCGAAUACUUCAGCAUGGAAUAAUGGAAUAGGACGUGCGGUCCUAUUUUGUUGGUUUCUAGGACCGCCGUAAUGAUUAAUAGGGA